AUCCAACUUAUCUACGUGGGGGGUCAUUAGGCUCCAAGUAGAUCCGGAAAAUGUUGAUUCUCUCCUCUUCUUAUUGUGAUAUAAAAUGUUUUUUGUUUCAUUUCAUUUACAUUGGGAAAUAGAGAAACGAUCAUUGUGUUUUGUUAGUUUUAAAAACUUUUGAUAUAUUUGUAUUUUACAUUAUAAGCAGUCAACCGAUUGACAAACUAGAAUUAUUUGAAUUCCGUGUGUAAAGAGGUCGGGUUAAUUUCGAGUGUUAUCUGCAAUCUAGAUGUUUAUAAAUCAUUUCAGUCGUUGAUGUAAUAAUUAAAGGUCGACUGAACAUGAAUUAUAUUAUACAAUUUAAAGCGCAUUUCUGUUUAUGCACGCGAACCCGUCUAACGUUAUUGUUAUUCCGCAGUUAUAUAAAGUAGCAAAUUAUCGUUCCUGAAUAGGUGGCGCCGUCGUAGCCGAUCCUGUUCUUCAACUUCCGGUUUCUGCACUGUGCAACUAUUACAGUUGCAUUUUUAAUUAACGAUGCCAAGUACUUGUUGUUGUGUACCUGGAUGUCAUUUAAGAGGAGGACAUGCAUUUCCAAAUGACUUAAAAAGAAGGAAAAGUUGGAUCAACGCCAUGGCCCAUACGCAGAUUGGACGAGAACACGGUGAAAUCGUGGAGUCCAUCUCAAUCAGCUGUUGUUUGCAAGGCACAUUUUACUGAAAAAGACUACGUGCAGGAAACUAUUCAUGAGGGCAAACCCUCCAUACAGAGACUUAAGUCUACUGCCAUUCCCAGCCUAUUUUCCUGGAUCAAGCAAGAGACUGAAUCGUCCGCAAAAGUUUUGAUUGUAAAGUUGGUUUUCCUGAAGAAGUCAUUCAUACUGCAGACAGGAUUUAUGACUGUCCACCACCAACUGCCGAGCUAAUGUUGAGCUUCACAGAUGGAAUUACGCAAACACCAUCAAUGCCUAUAUUUUCAGCAGAGAAUUUUGAAAUGAAGACACGUGACACAGCCUUGCAUUUUUAUACCAGUUUAGAGUUGUAUACUAAAUUUUUAUUUGUUUUGACCACACUUGGUCCAGCAGCACAUUGUUUGAGAUACAUAUAUUUUCAAAUUGAUAGGAUGUCAUUUGAAAAUCAUUUUUUUUAUGACUUUGAUGAAAUUGAGGCAUUAUACAACCAACUUUGAACUGUCUAGAUUCUAGAUUGAAACUAGUGUUAAGAAUAUUGUGUAAACAUGGAUUGUUUUUAUGUCUAAACAGUGGCGUGAGGCUAACACUUGGCCAUUUAGUGGUUUAGUCAGGUAUUUUUCGCCAUCCAACUUCAAAUUAAAGUUUCCUACAACUUGGAUUAUUAUUGACAGCACAGAAUAUCCCGUGAUAAAACAUAAAGCUCCUAGAGCUCAGGCAACCUUUUCAUCAUAUAAAAACAGAAACACUGAAAAUACUUGUACAUGUAUGUUCGACACCUGGUGGUUUAGUCAACUACAAAAAUGUAUGUCUCUAAUGCAUAUGUUGGUUGUACCAGUGACUGUGAAAUAGUUGAAAGAUGUAGAAUACAUGUGUAGUUCAAUUAUGUGACCCAGGUGACAGUGUGAUGGCAGACAAAGGUUUAAAUGUGCAAGAUUUGUUUGCUCACUUUUUUCAAAAAAAGAAACAGAAUUAGCUCCAAAACUCUUAUACGGGAUAGAAAAGUCUCCAAUUAACACGUGCACAUAGAGCUAAUUAUUAGACUUGGCAAAACAUACAAAAUUCUAAUAAAUCCUAUGAAUAUAACUGAAACAAAACUUUCAUCUGAAAUAACAUUUAGUUGUUAUAUGUUGUGUAAUUUUAGAACUUGUAUUGUGCCAAAGGAUGCAUAAAUAAAAGUGA